GUGACUAAACAUCUGCUACUAGACUAUAGGCUGUCAACAUUUUAGUUUGACAGAUUUGGUGUAGUGAUGGAAAUGCUACAGUAUGGAGUUGUGCUGAUGAUUAUUUCAUCUGUCAGUGGUCAGUCACUGACUUCCUCAGAUUCUGUGGUGAGGAAACCUGGAGAAUCAGUCACUCUGUCCUGCACUGUGUCUGGAUUCUUAAUGAGCAGCUACUACAUGGGCUGGAUCCGUCAGAAACCAGGGAGAGGACUGGAGUGGAUUGGGCGUAUUGAUGGUGGCACUGGCACUAUUUUUGCUCAGUCUCUACAAGGCCAGUUCUCCAUCACCAAAGACACAAGUAAAAACACUCUGCAUUUAGAGGUGAAAAGCCUGAAGACUGAAGACACGGCUGUUUAUUACUGUGCAAGAGAGUCACAAACAGCAAAGUGA